rnacentral:rRNA from 1 species
UACGGAGGAUCCAAGCGUUAUCCGGAUUUAUUGGGUUUAAAGGGAGCGUAGGUUGACAUAUAAGUCAGCUGUGAAAGUUUACGGCUCAACC